GAAAAGAAAGAACAAGAACCCUAGGGUGAAAAUUCAAGAGAAAAUUGGUGGAUUUCAAGUAAUCAAGCAAUCAAAGGUAAAAUUUCUUGAUUUUGACUUGUGAUCUACCUUUCCCAUACAUUCUUUUGCAUUUUCCAUGGUUAAAUCACAUGAUUUCAUGAUGGGUAUCUUGCUGGCUAAACACUUAGAGAGAGGUUUUGAUGCUUGAUUUGGUUAGAUUUCAAGUAUUUUAGUGUUUUUAGUUUAUUGGUGAUGUGUAGCAUGAAAAUCAAUCAAGAAAAAUUCAUGUUCUUCCAUCACCCAUCAUUGGCCGAAUUCUCCAUGUAGAAUAUUGAUGAUGAUUUUGAUUUUAUUUCAAGUGAUUUGGUUAGGAAUUAGUGAUUUAUGGUGUGAGAAUCAAGCUUGAAAAAUUAUAGUGUUGAUGCACCCACCAUGGCCGAAUUUUCCAAGAGAAAAUGUGAGGAUGAUUUUGUCAUAUUUCAAGUUAUUUAAUUUGUGUUUGAUGAUUUCGAGUAUUGGGAGAAAAAUGAAAUUAUUUGGAGUUGAAUUAGACGUAUUGGCCAAUUAAUCGAGUGAUAGAUCGAAUUAAGCCAAUACCGUUUUAUUUAGGUACAUAAUUGAAUUUAUAUUGAACAUCGUAUUUAGAUAGUUACCCAAGCAUUUCACAUCCCAUUUCAUGCAUUAGUAUAGAGCCUGAAUUGGUUUUAUAACAAUUUAGCACAAAUGUAGUAAAUGGCUUAUUGUGCAUUAUGUCUAGGUGGUGAGCAUUCUAGCAAAAGUAAAGAGAUAGUACCCGAGGAUCAAGAAUCAAAGUGCUCGAAAUUUGACUCCCGAAAUAGUGAGUAACCUUACUAUCGUCUUAAUUAUCUAAAGUGGUUUUUAUCCGAUUUUGUGACUUUAUGAAAAAUGAGUUAAAUGGUAAAUCUUUGUGUUUUGUAAUUAAAAUGUGAUUUAAUGAAAUUAUUUUAUAACAUUGUCUUGAAAUGAAAUGAUAGUUUGAAAAUAGAGUAAUUAGAGACUGUUUUCAUGUGUUGUAAAUUCAUGGUUUGAAUCGAAUGGCUUAUGACAAUAUUUGCAUGAAUGGCUGAAUUGGUAUUUGUGUUGAAAUAUAUGAAUUGUGUAUUUAGCCUUGAGAGACUGGAUUGUGAUAUAAUUGUCAUGUCAUGCGGUUGAGAUUUUAUUGAAUUGGUGGGUUUAGCUUGCUGCAGUGGACCGUGGACCAGCCUAUUAGAGGGGCAUGGUAACCUCGUUAUAUUCUUACCUCGGUCGAAGAGGCAUGUAGGGUAACUCCCGAGGUACAACUUUAGAGUUCACUUCACGCCAAACCACCACGUGAGGGUGGACUCAGCCAACGCCAAGGAACGACUUGUUUUCAAAAUAAAAACAUGAUUUAUGCGUACAUGACUUUUUAACAGCCUUGGCGGACUCAGUUUGGAUAGCCCCAGACCAAGGUAUCCCUGAUAACUGAGUAUGAGAAUGAUUUUGGCACGAGCCAGAGUUUUAAGAAAUUCAUAAGCCAUGUUGAUUACUCGAUUUAUAUGAAUUGAUUUUAUUUGGUUGAAAUGAGUUGAAAGGUGAUAAAUUACAGUAUGAUGAUCUAUUUUAAUCUGUCUCCAUUUACUCAGCUUUAGAUAUUUUAGAUGGUAUUUGUUUACUCACUGAGAUUAUAUAAUCUCACCACCCUCCUUUCCACCCAUUUCAGGCUCAGGAUAGUCGGUAGAUAGCUCACUUGUUGAGGGCUACAGUUGGACUUGCAUCCUCAAAAAACUAUAAGUUUACCCCUAUUGAUACUUUUGGUCGUUCGUGGGCCCACAUGUCACUGUAAAUUAAAUUUUAUACUUUGAUUAUUUGUAUUACAGUAUGUAUGAAUUUAUUUAGCUUUUACGCUACAAAAAUAUUUACCAAGAACUCUAU
rnacentral:lncRNA from 1 species